AAAAAAUUUCCUUUUGGCCCCCAUAUAACGGUACAAAAUGUAGAAAAGCGGUUGAAAAAAAUGAAACUCCUGAUGAAGAAUGGGACGAAUAUACAACUGAAUGGGUGGCUGAGUAUGAUUCCUAUGAAAAAGCCAGAAGAAAGCUGGUGAAAUUUUGUAAAGGCAACAGUUUGGAGUCUACAGAUGAGGACAGUGUACGGAAAAGAGUACCAUCAUCAAAAUAUAUGACGGAUACAGCCUCAGGAAGACCUCCAGUGCAGGCCUCAACAAGCUGGCCCCACACAGGUACAA